UCUUCCUCCUAAGCUGGCAGGAUGAAGUCUGCCUAGAUACUGUCACGUUGAAGAAGUGGUCUGUGUCACUGUGCUGGUGGUGCCAAGGACUCCAGCUUCAUGAGGAGGCCAAACUGGACAAUGAGAUUUGACAAGCAACGCUCUCAGGACUUGCCUUCACCUGGUGCCUUUGGAUUCCUGAGCCGGGAUUCCAGGCUUGCUGAUGGAUGGAUGACAGCGAUUCUGAAGAGCUUUACAGCAGUGGUGACAAUCUGGGAGAUCAGCAUCUGAACAAGAGACGUUCUCCUGUUUCUGAUUCAUCAGAAGAGAUCAGCAAGGCUGCUGAGGAGUCUCUGCUCUCAUCUUCAAGCACUCUCAAUGUCAGCAGAAAAGAAUAUUAAGCAUCUUACUGAGGAAAUGUACAGAUUGCCCAACAUAAAGUACCUUCAUCUGGAAGGAAAUGUCAUAUCCACGCUUCCCGAGGAUCUGUUUCAAAAGCUGCCACAUCUUGUUUGGCUGGAUGUCUGCUAUAACGAGAUUAAAGCUCUUCCCCCUGGAAUCGGUUUCCGCAGGACACUUGACUUUGCUGACAGCCCUGAAUCUGAGACAUUGUCUCCUUGAAUUUCCUCCUAAAGAGGUCAACAAAAGGGAUUAAAACCCAUCCUGUCCUUUCUUCAGCAUUUUGGGAAGGAAACCUACCCUGCAUGGAGCCAGCCACUUCAGCGGUAAAGAAAUGCUUUGGGAAUGGUGCAGCCAGGCAAAGCUGAGGGAAGAAAGAAGAGAAGCGUUUAGAUUCUUACCUACAAAGGCAGAUAUGGUACCCAAAGAUGCACCCUAUGCACCUGCUAACAUCAGUUACCACACCAUGAACAAGAGAGCUGAGAAACAGGACCGUACACCUCAGACAGUGGAAGAAUGGAUGCUGGAAGUAAAGGGUGAAGCUUCAAGAUCCUGCUGGGAAAAGAAGCUGGAGCAGCACAUCAAACAGCACACAGCAGCGGUGAAAGCACGGGGGCAGCAGUUAAAAGGAGCUUCCCAAGUGGAAAGGAAGAAAGCAAACCAAGAUGCUGAGGCAGUGAGCAGCUGCUCUUUGGA